GGGCCCGUAGCUCAGCUAGGUUGGUUAAAUUAUUAAUAAAAUAUGAGGAAAAUAAGGUAACCCUAGAGAGAGCAUCUGGCUUUUAACCAGGUGGUCGGGGGUUCGAAUCCCCUCGGGCCCG
rnacentral:tRNA from 1 species